rnacentral:sRNA from 1 species
AUGCAAACAUACUUAAUCUGUAUUAACAUAAUGUUUUACACAAUUUAUUGAUAAAAGAAGCAAUACCUGAUACAAGAACAUGAAAUUAUAUUUAUCAUAUUCGUUUGCAUUGUGAAAUAUUAAUAAAGAUUUUAACAAAAAUAGGCUAAAAGAACUUGUCAGAAAAGUGUUAUAUGUAGUGCUACUCGGAUGAUGAAACUAGUUUGACUUUAUCAUGGAGAUCUACUCACUGAUGAUAUUUGUAUGAAGUGUAUUUUCUUUUCUUCGGUAAUUUACAUUUUUCAGGGGUUUAAACUGUCAAAGACAGCAAUAUUUUGUUUUUUAAAUUCACUGAAACUUAUUGUUGGUUCAAACUUGAUUAUGUUUAUAUUAUGCACCUGUGUAGAAUUUUAAGAGUCCUAGACUUAAUACACUUUCACAGCUUUUGUCAAAUUUCAUAAUUUUUUGUCGAAUGCCAAUUAUUUUUAAAAAGGUAUGAGCAUUGAUAAAAUUGUGUCUAUUUCAAAUUGCUUUUGUUAAGAGUGUGAUUGUUGUCUUGGGUACAUAUAUGUUCAACAACUAAUCUACUUAGUUCUCUUUAAUCUCCAGAACCAGUGAGAAUUCAACAUGUCCACAGCAUCUUUCUGAUGGCAUUUAAUUCCAUCAGUAAAUUAGUAAUAAUAAGAGCCCUUGGGUCAAAUAAACAAUGUAGUUAAUUUCAAUACAAUCUUAGCUGUAAAGAUAUCAAGCGUUAAUGAUUGUUAAUUUUUUACUUGUAUAUUUGCAUGAUAGCAGGCGUAUGAGUGAUAAUGCGGUAAAAUUGUAAUUUGGUUUAUUGAUGAUAUAUUGUAGAGCUCGUUUUAUUAUUUUAUUUAAUAUUUUUUGCUCAUGUCCAUACUCACAAAUAAAGUUUG